CUGUGAAAAUUUUAUCUCAAUAUACCUAUUUUUGCGAGUUACUAAGUUUUUCAUGGAUAAGAGAACUUUUCUGUUUAAUAAUUAAAUACCCCGUCGGUUUGGCGGUAGGAAAAGAUUUAAAUACUAUCCAUCGCGGAAGGGUUAAAAGAAAUGUGUGCUUGGCAGUAGUCACAGUAAGGAAUGGAGGCCAACAAUAUAGUUCUUGCUGCUAGAUCUUUGGGGGUUGGGGGCCUCUUUCUGUGCUUUGAAGAGUUCAGGUGUUGGGUCUUCUGCUAAUGUGAAUAGACAGUCAGAAUUUACAUGGGCUCUGAGGGAAAGACUAUAAGAAGGCUCUUGACAGGGGUGACUAACCUAUCAAGAAGAAGAACUGGAAUGGAUGGUAAAAGAGUGGGCCAAGUGAAGAAUCUCUUCUGUAAGGAAUUGAGGCUUCGGCCAUAAGUUGGUUGUGUGUUCAUCUCGGGCCAGUGGUGAGUGGUCAGCUGUCCCUGUCAGUGAAUGUUGCUGGAGGGCUACAGAUGUCCCACUGUCAGCAGUCCAGGAGAUCUUUCUAAGGUACUAGAUGGUGAACUCAGUUGACAGCCUGAUUGCCCAGAUGAGUCCAAGCCUCAGCAAACACUGGAGGAACUUCAGAAAAUGAUUCACCAAAUACUGACACAUGGAAAUUAAGUCCAGCGCCCACCAGCAUCAGCAACACACGGAAGAGUUUCUUUUAGGGCAAUGUCAAGUUCUGUAAGAUUUGACUUGCAGCACAAUAUGCUGGUGUCAUCAGCAAAUAAAAUUGGUUUUGAUUCUUUAUUUAUUGUAUUUGGCAAAUCAUUUAUAUAUAUCAAAAAGAGCAAUGGCCCCAAAACAGAGCCCUGAGGGACACCCUGUUUUACACUUUGCCACUCCGAAAUUCCACUAGUAAUAUUGCUAUUUAGUACUGUUCUUUGUUGUCUAUCCCUCAAAUAAGUUUUAAUUAACUUUCCUGCUUUACCAUUAAAACCAAAGAACUCUAGCUUAGCAAGAAGUAUUGUGUGAUUUACACAAUCAAAUGCUUGGGUCAGGUCACAGAACAGGCCUCCCAUUAUUAUUUGUUGCUGUUAGAAUGGUAUUUAUGAAAUCAUAAAUGGCUGAUUCAGUGGACAAUUUAGAUGUUGAAAUCUAUUAUAUAUGAUUCUUUCAAAGAUCUUAGAUCAAUAAAGAUAUCAGCGUAUAAUUUGCUAUAUCAGUUCUAUCACCUUUUUUAAAAAUAGGAUUUAUUUGAGAAUAUUUUAAUCUUGAGGGGAAGACACCAAGAUUCAAUACUUUAUUACACAUAUAUGUUAAUGUUUCCAAUAUGAAUGGUAAACUUAUUUUGAGAAUAUAUUGUGAAAUUUCAUCAUAUCCAUGUGAAUGUUUCCAUUUUAAUGAUUUCACUAUGUUUUUAACUUCUUUAUUAGUUACUGGUGACAUAUAUAUAUAUAUCUGGAAAGGGGUGUUUAAACAUGGUAAUAAGGAAUUUAAGGGCUUCAUUCCUGUCUUUAGUAGAACUAUUUUUUAUUUGUGAUAGUGGAUAUAUAAAAUAAUUAUUAAUGUAACUAGCCAUUUUUUUUUGUAUAUUAUUACAUAACUUACCUUCUAUAUUUAUGCUUGCUAUUGGAUUUUUUUCCUAUUUAGUUUUAGUUAAAGUUUAGUUAAACUCCAAGUAGUUUUCAUUUUAUUAUUGGAAUUUAAAAUUAAUUUAUUAUAAUAAAGUUGUUUUGCUUUCCUUAUAACCUCUGUUAAGAUUCUGCAAUAAUUCUUGUAAUAUCUUGCUAAUUCCGGAUCAUCCAAAUUUCUACUAAGCAAAUAUAGCUCUCUCUUACGAAUGCAUGACAUUUUUAUACCUAUUGUUAGCCAGGGUUGUUUGGUAUGGGUGAAUAUUAAUUUUUUGUAAGGAAAACUGCCCAGCUCUUUCCUUCGUGUUUAUAAAAUAAGAACUUAGCCUUUUUACCACUUCAGUGAUCCUUGAUUUAACAUCCAUGAUGUGCCAUGUAUUAUAUUGUAUAAUGUUGAUGUAUAUAGUUAUGGUUUUUAAAUAUAUUAACUGAUUGAACUGUAUGAUUUACUGGA